GAAAUGACCCCAUAUGUUAAUUUUGAAAUCUAUCCAGAUCUGAACUACAUGUUUUAAUGUUUGUUAAACAGUAGAAUAAAUAGGUUCACAUGAUUCUACGCGUCAUUCUAGUCGACUUACAUAUAGAGAUCAUUGCAAACGGAGCUACAGUUCAAAAGAUAUGAUCACCGCAAGAUAUGAUGCCAUGAAUGCAAUAUGUAUGCAAAUGACAGCCACAAGCAUACCAAACCAUGAAGGCAACAAUAUAUAACGAAAUUACAUGAGAUUCUAAGCAAGUUCAUACGUGACACGUUCCAAACGGAGCAAUGGUUCAAUGAUUACAAGCAAAACAAGAAAUAACUACAA
rnacentral:lncRNA from 1 species